UAGGGCCGGCUGAAAGCACACAGUGCCUGGAGACAAAUCAGGAGGAGAUUUAGGAUGCCUGUGAAGAAAGGCAGGUGCCUGGGAGUGGGGCCCCUGCUAAGCAGUCUCAGGAGAACUGCUACCACAUCAGGAAGGAUGUAGAACACGCAGCAAGAAGGACUUCCCAGCUCAUGGUGCCGUGGACAAAGGAGAGGCUGAGAGGAGAUGCGGGUCUCUAUCAGCAGAGAGCUGUGGCUGUGGAUGAAGACAAGAGGAUGCGAACCCCCUUAGUCCCAAACCUAGGUGUCUGAGACCCACAGAACGGCUGGCAGAGGUCUCCAAGUCCAAGCCUCUCUGCAUGGGAACUGGGAGAAACAGCUGUACACAUCUGGAAGAGGCUUGCCAGGCUCCAUCAA